GGAAUCACAGGAGAACGCCGUGUGCA
rnacentral:piRNA from 1 species